AGUGAACGCUGGCGGUAGGCCUAACACAUGCAAGUCGAACGGCAGCACAGGAGAGCUUGCUCUCUGGGUGGCGAGUGGCGGACGGGUGAGGAAUACAUCGGAAUCUACUUUUUCGUGGGGGAUAACGUAGGGAAACUUACGCUAAUACCGCAUACGACCUACGGGUGAAAGCAGGGGACCUUCGGGCCUUGCGCGAUUGAAUGAGCCGAUGGCGGAUUAGCUAGUUGGCGGGGUAAAGGCCCACCAAGGCGACGAUCCGUAGCUGGUCUGAGAGGGUGAUCAGCCACACUGGAACUGGGACACGGUCCAGACUCCUACGGGAGGCAGCAGUGGGGAAUAUUGGACAAUGGGCGCAAGCCUGAUCCAGCCAUACCGCGUGGGUGAAGAAGGCCUUCGGGUUGUAAAGCCCUUUUGUUGGGAAAGAAAUCCAGCUGGCUAAUACCCGGUUGGGAUGACGGUACCCAAAGAAUAAGCACCGGCUAACUUCGUGCCAGCCGCCGCAGUAA
rnacentral:rRNA from 1 species